GACGAACGCUGGCGGCGUGCUUAACACAUGCAAGUCGAACGGAAAGGCCCUGCUUUUGUGGGGUGCUCGAGUGGCGAACGGGUGAGUAACACGUGAGUAACCUGCCCUUGACUUUGGGAUAACUUCAGGAAACUGGGGCUAAUACCGGAUAGGAGCUCCUGCUGCAUGGUGGGGGUUGGAAAUUUUCGGCGGUUGGGGAUGGACUCGCGGCUUAUCAGCUUGUUGGUGGGGUAGUGGCUUACCAAGGCUUUGACGGGUAGCCGGCCUGAGAGGGUGACCGGCCACAUUGGGACUGAGAUACGGCCCAGACUCAUACGGGAGGCAGCAGUGGGGAAUAUUGCACAAUGGGCGGAAGCCUGAUGCAGCAACGCCGCGUGCGGGAUGAGGGCCUUCGGGUUGUAAACCGCUUUCGCCUGUGACGAAGCGUGAGUGACGGUAAUGGGUAAAGAAGCACCGGCUAACUAAGUG
rnacentral:rRNA from 1 species